ensembl:lncRNA
CUGCUCAGUAGAUUAAUAACAGUCAGUAGUUAUGUAUUUCUUUGUUUCAUCUUCAUAUAUGCAUGUUUCUGCUUUACAACUUUAUUUUCUGAUUUCAUUGUUUCAUCUGUCCUUUCCAUGCCUUUCCCUAAAUGGAAAUAGAAAUGCAACAGUCUCCCAACCAGACAUCAAGAACAAGAGAUUCAGGGAAAGUUAUAGAUGACCUGUCCCAAGGAGAUUCACUAAGGUAAGAUUUAAAAAAAAAUAACAUAUUUUAGCAAAUCAGAGAGAGAGAGAGAGCAUGACUUAUUAUUGUCUUAUGUUUUUGUUAUUUAAGAAGUUCUGAAAAAGAUGAAGGGGAUGACAGCUGGCUUACAUCAGAGGAAGAAGAACUAGAUUUUACCCCCAAGAAACCACAGAAGCCAAGUUUGACUCUGCUAAUGAACUCUUCCCAUCAAUUCAAGAAAAACAGUAAGCAAUGGUGGGGAGGGGGGGAAUCUCCUUUACUACAUUAUAUGUUGAUAUGAAAUUGUAGAUUUAUUAUGUAUUUUACUUCCUCUUUUAAGUAUAUUUGAUCUUUGUGUUUUUACUAUAGUAGGUGAGAAAAGUAGCAUUAUGAGAACAGAACAUAUAGCCAUUUCACAGCAAAAUAAAUCAGAUUGUGAAGCUGAAGAUGUCAUUGAAACCCCUCCUAAGCCUUUUUCCCAAGUCAAGUCCUACCCUCGACCUCUCCAUCCCUCACCUGGCUCCUGUUCAAAACCUUCCCAGAUGACUCCUCCUCUCCUGGGGUUUAAACAGGAAGAAUCAUCAGAGGAGGAAGAUGACAUAAAGCAACCACAAAUUUCAAAUGUUAUAGAUAAAAGUUUGAUUUGUAAUGGAAACCGUGAAGCACAGAAUCCCUCAGAAGAUACUGCUAUUAGGAAAGAUACAAUGUCAGUAUUAGGAUUGGACGAGGAGGAGGAUACAGAAUCACCCUGGGAUUCAGAGUGUGCUUCUGAAAGUCCAAGAAAACUACCAGUCAACCUAUUAAUUUCAUCUGCUGUCAGAACUGACACACACAUGCAGAGUAUUUUUGAGGAACCAAAUGAAGGUUUUUGUGAAAAAACUCUUGAGUCACAGCCAAAGACCACUCAAGCAAUUUUAGAAACAAAUGACACCUCUUCUUGUCCUGCAAAGGGAAUCGAGACUGGCAAAAGGCAAAAAUCAGGUAAUAUUCACUACAUCAAAUUUUGGUGAGGGACUGGGCAUCUUCAUUAACAAAUAUUUAUCUUAAACA